UUGCAUCGAUGAAAGAACGCAGCGAAAUGCGAUAAGUAAUGUGAAUUGCAGAAUUCAGUGAAUCAUCGAAUCUUUGAACGCAAAUUGCGCCCUUUGGUAUUCCGAAGGGCAUGCCUGUUUGAGUGUCUUAUAAACCUCACCCCUAAUGUUUUAUUACAAUAGGUUGGUGCUUUGGGUGUUGCCAUUUACCUGGCUCGCCUUAAAUGACUAAGUGGAAUGCGUAAUAAGUUCUCGCAACCCUCCACUCUAAUACAAUUUAUAUUCUGACCUCAAAUCAGGUAGGACUACCCGCUGAACUUAAGCAUAUCAAUAAGC
rnacentral:rRNA from 1 species